AAAGGAAUAGACGGGGGCCCGCACAAGCGGUGGAACAUGUGGUUCAAUUCGACGCUACGCGAAGAACCUCACCAGGGCUUGACAUGCAGGAAGUAGUGAACUGAAAAGGGAACUACCUGUCAAGUCAGGAGCCUGCACAGGUGCUGCAUGGCUGUCGUCAGCUCGUGUCGUGAGAUGUUGGGUUAAGUCCCGCAACGAGCGCAACCAUCAUCCUUAGUUGCAACGCUUUUUGCCGAAAGGUUGAAAGUGGCACUCUAAGGAGACUGCCCGCGAUAAGCGGGAGGAAGGUGGAGAUGACGUCAAGUCAGUACGGCCUUUAUGCCCUGGGCUACACACGUGUUACAAUGCUCACUACAAAGCGUUGCCAAGCCGCGAGGUGGAGCUAAUCGCAAAAAAGUGAGCUCAGUUCAGAUUGGAGUCUGCAAUCCGACUCCAUGAAGCCGGAAUCGCUAGUAAUGGCGGAUCAGCUACGCCGCCGUGAAUACGUUCCCGGGCCUUGUACACACCGCCCGU
rnacentral:rRNA from 1 species